rnacentral:rRNA from 1 species
GGGGGACCUUCGGGCCUCUUGCCAUCGGAUGUGCCCAGAUGGGAUUAGCUAGUAGGUGGGGUAACGGCUCACCUAGGCGACGAUCCCUAGCUGGUCUGAGAGGAUGACCAGCCACACUGGAACUGAGACACGGUCCAGACUCCUACGGGAGGCAGCAGUGGGGAAUAUUGCACAAUGGGCGCAAGCCUGAUGCAGCCAUGCCGCGUGUAUGAAGAAGGCCUUCGGGUUGUAAAGUACUUUCAGCGGGGAGGAAGGGAGUAAAGUUAAUACCUUUGCUCAUUGACGUUACCCGCAGAAGAAGCACCGGCUAACUCCGUGCCAGCAGCCGCGGUAAUACGGAGGGUGCAAGCGUUAAUCGGAAUUACUGGGCGUAAAGCGCACGCCAGGGGGUUG